CCUACGGGAGGCUGCAGUGAGGAGUAUUGGUCAAUGGGCGCGAGCCUGAACCAGCCAAGUAGCGUGAAGGAUGACUGCCCUACGGGUUGUAAACUUCUUGUAUAAAGGAAUAAAGUGAGGCACGUGUGCCUUUUUGUCUGUACUUUAUGAAUAAGGAUCGGCUAACUCCGUGCCAGCAGCCGCGGUAAUCCGGAGGAUCCGAGCGUUAUCCGGAUUUCUUGGGUUUAAAGGGAGCGUAGAUGGGUGGUUAAGUCAGUUGUGAAAGUUUGCGGCUCAACCCUAUAAGUGCAAUUGAUACUGGGAGGCUUGAGUACAGUUGAGGUAGGCGGAAUUCGUGGUGUAGCGGUGAAAUGCUUAGAUAUCACGAAGAACUCCGAUUGCGAAGGCAGCUUACUAAACUGCCACUGACAUUGAUGCUCGAAAGUGUGGGUAUCAAACAGGAUUAGAUACCCCAGUAGUC
rnacentral:rRNA from 1 species